rnacentral:rRNA from 1 species
UACAGAGACUGCAAGCGUUAUUCGGAUUCACUGGGCGUAAAGGGUGCGCAGGCGGUCGGGUGUGUCAGAUGUGAAAUCCCGAGGCUCAACCUCGGAACUGCGUCUGAAACUACUCGACUAGAGUACUGGAGAGGGUAACGGAAUUCCUGGUGUAGCGGUGAAAUGCGCAGAUAUCAGGAGGAACACCGGCUGGCGAAGGCGGUUCUCUGGGAAUAUCCUGACGCUGAGGAGCGAAAGUGUGGGGAGCGAACAGG